rnacentral:lncRNA from 1 species
GGCGUGUUAAAUUAAAUAUAUUUUUAUUCUAUUGUAUUAUGAUACAUUAUUGAUGUUAUCCAAAACAAUUCAACUACAUUAUAUACUUAACAACCUUGUACCCUUGACAUUUAUCUUUUAGCAUGUGGUGAUACCAACCCAGCGUUUUGCCUGAUUUACUCCAAAUAUUGCUCCUUGUGGAAGGUAGCUCACAACAUGUGCAGGCGCACCUGCAACACCUGUCAACUUUAAGGUAAGUGAAGUUGAAAUAUAUUAUGUUUGUAUCACAGAGAUUAUGACAGAAUAGAGAGGGCAUUGCUCGAUAAAUUAAGGGGAAAAUAAAGCUUGCUCAUUUUUAUUUCGGAUGUAAACUCCCACACCAAUUGUCUGCCUUAACCAUGGUUCUCGCUAAGAGGGAUCAAAUAUAUUCGUUUCUUAUGUACUGUCCUGACUAUACGACGGAACAGAAGCAUAAGCAUUGAAUACCAAAACGUUGUGUUCUUUUCAAUAUGCUUACGCUGUUGCUUAUGUUUGUGAUUAAUCUUGCGUUCUAUCGAGGACACAGUAAGAACAACACAAGCAUAAGAACAUCAAAGCUUUCCGAUUGUUUAUCAUUGCGUUGUCGUGCGUAAGUUGUGAGCUUGAUUGACACAGUACAACUCGAGUUGUGUGCUUGAUUGACACAGUACAACUCCAGUUGUGAGCAGGUUGCAUGUGACAGUUUUAGGCAAAAGUUGCGUGUUGUAAAUCGGUUUUAAAACUUUUAACUACAUUCUAGUGCAAAGGUCUUGUGGCGUGUUCUAAUCGCCAUGUUUUUCAUUCUUUCAGGUAUUCCACAGGCAGAAACACUUCAGAAUCCGCCAAAGCUGCAGGUUCAAAAUGAAAAUAAAAUGUAACUGAUAUUUAAGUUUGGUUCUUUAACAAUUUUGUGUGCAUUUUGAACGUUUAUGCCAUUCAUUCUCUUUUGAAUUAUUGAGUAUAGUUUAAGAAUUUCACGUCAAAUUAAAAUAAUAUUGCAUUAUAGGAUUCACAUCAUUGAGAAACUGUAGCGUACGUAGUGUUGCGUAAGUAAGAGACUAGUAAAAUACACUUUAAUGCUCCUCGAGCGUGCUUAUUUUUCUCUUAAAUUGUAGAAAUUUUGUAAUCAUGUUUGAUAAAAUUAAAGACUGUUACGUGGAGC